CAGUAGCCGCGGGAAAACGUAGGGUGCAAGCGUUAAUCGGAAUUACUGGGCGUAAAGCGUGCGCAGGCGGUUCUAUAAGACAGAUGUGAAAUCCCCGGGCUUAACCUGGGAACUGCAUUUGUGACUGGCGAGCUAGAGUAUGGCAGAGGGGGGUAGAAUUCCACGUGUAGCAGUGAAAUGCGUAGAGAUGUGGAGGAAUACCGAUGGCGAAGGCAGCCCCCUGGGCCAAUACUGACGCUCAUGCACGAAAGCGUGGGGAGCAAACAGGAUUAGAUACCCCAGUAGUCCCUGUCUCUUAUAC
rnacentral:rRNA from 1 species